rnacentral:miRNA from 1 species
UGAGAGGUGCAGGUAAUUAUA